rnacentral:rRNA from 1 species
CACGUAGUUAGCCGUGACUUUCUGGUUGAUUACCGUCAAAUAAAGGCCAGUUACUACCUCUAUCCUUCUUCACCAACAACAGAGCUUUACGAUCCGAAAACCUUCUUCACUCACGCGGCGUUGCUCCAUCAGACUUGCGUCCAUUGUGGAAGAUUCCCUACUGCUGCCUCCCGUAGGAGUUUGGGCCGUGUCUCAGUCCCAAUGUGGCCGAUCAGUCUCUCAACUCGGCUAUGCAUCAUCGCCUUGGUAAGCCUUUACCUUACCAACUAGCUAAUGCACCGCGGGGCCAUCCCAUAGCGACAGCUUACGCCGCCUUUUAAAAGCUGAUCAUGCGAUCUGCUUUCUUAUCCGGUAUUAGCACCUGUUUCCAAGUGGUAUCCCAGACUAUGGGGCAGGUUCCCCACGUGUUACUCACCCAUCCGCCGCUCGCUUUCCUAACGUCAUUACCGAAGUAAAUCUGUUAGUUCCGCUCGCUCGACUUGCAUGUAUUAGGCACGCCGCC